GGCGUGCCUAAUACAUGCAAGUAGAACGCUGAAGAGAGGAGCUUGCUCUUCUUGGAUGAGUUGCGAACGGGUGAGUAACGCGUAGGUAACCUGCCUUGUAGCGGGGGAUAACUAUUGGAAACGAUAGCUAAUACCGCAUAACAAUAGGUGACACAUGUCAUUUAUUUGAAAGGGGCAAUUGCUCCACUACAAGAUGGACCUGCGUUGUAUUAGCUAGUAGGUGAGGUAACGGCUCACCUAGGCGACGAUACAUAGCCGACCUGAGAGGGUGAUCGGCCACACUGGGACUGAGACACGGCCCAGACUCCUACGGGAGGCAGCAGUAGGGAAUCUUCGGCAAUGGGGGCAACCCUGACCGAGCAACGCCGCGUGAGUGAAGAAGGUUUUCGGAUCGUAAAGCUCUGUUGUAAGUCAAGAACGAGUGUGAGAGUGGAAAGUUCACACUGUGACGGUAGCUUACCAGAAAGGGACGGCUAACUACGUGCCAGCAGCCGCGGUAAUACGUAGGUCCCGAGCGUUGUCCGGAUUUAUUGGGCGUAAAGCGAGCGCAGGCGGUUUGAUAAGUCUGAAGUUAAAGGCUGUGGCUCAACCAUAGUUCGCUUUGGAAACUGUCAAACUUGAGUGCAGAAGGGGAGAGUGGAAUUCCAUGUGUAGCGGUGAAAUGCGUAGAUAUAUGGAGGAACACCGGUGGCGAAAGCGGCUCUCUGGUCUGUAACUGACGCUGAGGCUCGAAAGCGUGGGGAGCGAACAGGAUUAGAUACCCUGGUAGUCCACGCCGUAAACGAUGAGUGCUAGGUGUUGGAUCCUUUCCGGGAUUCAGUGCCGCAGCUAACGCAUUAAGCACUCCGCCUGGGGAGUACGACCGCAAGGUUGAAACUCAAAGGAAUUGACGGGGGCCCGCACAAGCGGUGGAGCAUGUGGUUUAAUUCGAAGCAACGCGAAGAACCUUACCAGGUCUUGACAUCCCGAUGCUAUUUCUAGAGAUAGAAAGUUACUUCGGUACAUCGGUGACAGGUGGUGCAUGGUUGUCGUCAGCUCGUGUCGUGAGAUGUUGGGUUAAGUCCCGCAACGAGCGCAACCCCUAUUGUUAGUUGCCAUCAUUCAGUUGGGCACUCUAGCGAGACUGCCGGUAAUAAACCGGAGGAAGGUGGGGAUGACGUCAAAUCAUCAUGCCCCUUAUGACCUGGGCUACACACGUGCUACAAUGGUUGGUACAACGAGUUGCGAGUCGGUGACGGCAAGCUAAUCUCUUAAAGCCAAUCUCAGUUCGGAUUGUAGGCUGCAACUCGCCUACAUGAAGUCGGAAUCGCUAGUAAUCGCGGAUCAGCACGCCGCGGUGAAUACGUUCCCGGGCCUUGUACACACCGCCCGUCACACCACGAGAGUUUGUAACACCCGAAGUCGGUGAGGUAACCUUUUGGAGCCAGCCGCCUAAGGUGGGAUAGAUGAUUGG
rnacentral:rRNA from 1 species